GUGAGGAAUAUUGCGCAAUGGAGGCAACUCUGACGCAGCCAUGCCGCGUGCAGGAAGAAGGCGCUACGCGUUGUAAACUGCUUUUAACCGGGAAGAAACCCCAGGACGUGUCCUGGCUUGACGGUACCGGAGGAAUAAGCACCGGCUACCUUCGUGCCAGCAGCCGCGGUCAUACGAAGGGGGCAAGCGUUAUCCGGAUGCAUUGGGUUUAAAGGGUGCGUAGGCGGAGCGUUAAGUCAGUGGUGAAUUCCUGCCGCUUAACUGUAGACUUGCCAUUGAUACUGGGGGUCUUGAGUGCGGUUGAAGUGGGCGGAAUGUGCCGUGUAGCGGUGAAAUGCUUAGAGAUGUCACAGAACACCAAUUGCGAAGGCAGCUCACUAAGGCGAUACUGACGCUGAGGCACGAAAGCGUGGGGAUCGAACAGGAUUAGAAACCCUAGUAGUCC
rnacentral:rRNA from 1 species